rnacentral:rRNA from 1 species
GACGAACGCUGGCGGCGUGCCUAAUACAUGCAAGUAGAACGCACAGUUUAUACCGUAGCUUGCUACACCAUAGACUGUGAGUUGCGAACGGGUGAGUAACGCGUAGGUAACCUGCCUGGUAGCGGGGGAUAACUAUUGGAAACGAUAGCUAAUACCGCAUAAUAUUAAUUAUUGCAUGAUAAUUAAUUGAAAGGUGUAAUUGCACCACUACCAGAUGGACCUGCGUUGUAUUAGCUAGUAGGUGAGGUAACGGCUCACCUAGGCGACGAUACAUAGCCGACCUGAGAGGGUGAUCGGCCACACUGGGACUGAGACACGGCCCAGACUCCUACGGGAGGCAGCAGUAGGGAAUCUUCGGCAAUGGACGAAAGUCUGACCGAGCAACGCCGCGUGAGUGAAGAAGGUUUUCGGAUCGUAAAGCUCUGUUGUAAGAGAAGAACGGGUGUGAGAGUGGAAAGUUCACACUGUGACGGUAUCUUACCAGAAAGGGACGGCUAACUACGUG